AGCCUCUCCACCUAUUUUUAUUUUGCUUGCACGGAGCUCCAUGCUAUAAAUAUGCUCAUGGCAUCCGCACAGGAACUCAAAUGCCAGCACAGCCGACGAAGCUGACUAACCACAAAAAUGCCAACUCACCAGACUGAGGAGAAAGAGCUGCUCUGAGCGAAAAUCAGUCAUUGCAGAAGAUGAGGCACAAAAGGAUUUGAAACCACAAUAAAAAUGAGCCUUAACCAGUUAUGAAGCAGUUGACAAGCAAACAAUGAGGCAUUCAACCAAGCCAACACCAUUCCCGAGCUCCAGUCUAGACUAAGUGGCACAGAAACGACUGACCAAGCGCUAAGGCAGGUGCAUGAGGAACUGAGAUGCCAGGUGGACUGUGCUGGAGUAAAGCCUCUCAGGAUUCCUGACACAUGGUUGUAACCCAGACUUCCUGCUCACAACCAAACUCAUCGCUGCAGGGACCCUGGGAGGCAGUGGGAUACAUCACACAAGAAUGUUCCACAAGAAAAGGCAUGGCAGCUGAUUUUGCUCUAGAAGAAGGAAAACAGUUUUCACGGACUCUAGUAAAUGUCCUACGGUGAAGACAGGAGACCUCCCCACGGGACUGGUCUGGAUUGCUCACCGUGAAGCUACUAUGAAGCUGUGCACUCCGGGGGAGGGCUGCAAAUCAUUGUCUCACCCCCCACUCCUCUUCAGCCCCCGGAGCAUCCUGGCAGGACAACACCGCUCCACGGGUGAAAUCCCUGAUCACAGUCCUCCUGAGAGAGGAGCUUCCUUUCUGCUCCGGACAGACACCCUCCUGUCUCUCAACCCCCUAGGGUCCGAGCCUACUCCUGCCCCCACACCCCAGGGACCCUGCCUCAAUCUUCUCUGCACGUCGUCCCCGCCACUCUUCAGACGUGCUCUCCUCGGGGACGCUCCACCCCUGCUCACCCCUUGUGGCUUCUUCCAUUUCCUCUGCUGCCUCUUGCUCUGCCAUGAUCUACACGUUUAUGGAAAGUUGACAAUAAGGUGUAUUCGGCACGAUUCUGUCCCUGGCUCUCCUCUGCCUCACUGUUGUUUCUUGCAGGACAGGAUUCUUCUUGUGGAUAACUCCCAUAUCUACAUCACUGCACCGGAUUUCUUUCCCAAGCCUGAGACCUGCGUUUCCAACUGCCGGGAGGACUUCAUUACUGACCCCUCAAAGCUGAUGUGACCCAGAGCAAACUCAGCUUCCCUCCAUUAUAUUUGCUUCUUCCUUUCUUCUUUCGGCUUCCUAAUUUUGUGAGCAUCCUCCCAGGUAACCAGGAUCAAAGUUCUCGGGGCUUCCCCCUGGCCUUUUCCUUGGUCCCGUGGGCCCGACUUGUCUGCUCGGCGACAUCUCAACCUCCGGUCUCCCUACCCCUCCCGGCUAACUUCUGCACCCCUUCCAAGUGAAUCUGCUGCCAAGCUUCUAACAAAUGCAGCAGACCCUUCUUGAGAACUGUGUGUGCCCACAGCCGAUCCCACAUGCCUCUCUGCAGGCCUCUUGCCCAGACCCCAGCUCCCUGCAGGCUGAUAUUGCACGGGGCACAGUCUACCGAGGCGCAUCGUGCUAGAGAAUCCAGGUCUGGGGAACGAGUCGGCUGGUGUUCACUCUGCCUGCCAGGCCUUUCGGGGCUGGAAUUUGGGACACAGCUCUGAAAGCCAAAGGUUCUAAGAGGCUUUCUCUGAGUGUAUUUGAACAGCUGGGCAAAAUAUCCUGGCUUUCAAAAAGAAAGGCAUUCUUCCUGUUUUCAGAAGUCACCAAACCUGUUUCUUGGUUUUUGAAGAAACAGGGUCACCUGGGCUUUGGCCAGGCUGAAACAGCCCAUCCCCUCAUCAAGUGGGUUUACUCAGGAGGACGCAACAUUUGGAUGCGGGCAGGUGUGUUUUCUGAGCAGGGGUUCAAGCCUCCUCAUUCAGGGAAAUUCCUGGUAACUUUUCUGCCUUAAGUCUUCCCGCUGCUGAUCGAAGCAUAGCACUGCCUCAUGUAAAACCAUGGUGGCCGUGUCAUUUAAGUACCAAAUUUGGGGGAAUUUUAGAUGCAUAGUAAACUUUAGAUUUCUUUCCAUUAACAGUAGUAAUUUAAAGAGUAUCACUGAAUAAAGCCUGGAGUUUAGCUGAUGGUAACUUAGCCACGUUAGUUUCCUAGCUGACAGAUGUGCCCAGCGAUGGAAGAAGCUGACAUGAGGGCAGAAACCCUACUGUCAUGGCAACUUUUUUCUAAAUCUAAAGUUAUUUCAAAAUAAACAAUAUAAAGAAAGAUCAGCUCCUUUCCCACCUUCUGCGAAUGGGACAGAAGGCUAAGCCCUUCACAAAUACUGUCUCAUUUUGUCCAUGUAACAGGCCUAUGAGGUACACAUACUACAGAUGACACAGUGUAGCUCCACAAGGGCCAGAGGCAGCCAGAGAUGUCCGGUGGUGGUGUGGCCGGGAGCGUGGACAGUCAGAACACAGCCAUCCCCCUCGGCAUGGGCCAGCCGGGUUUCCCAUACCCCAGACUGAAUAGACACAUACACGCAUACACAUCUACUUCCAUCGGGCCUGGCGGUCCAGAACUCAGUGUGAACUCCUUUCUUUUUUUUUUUUUUUUUUUUUUUUUUUAAAUUUUUUCUCAACGUUUUUUUUAUUUAUUUUUGGGACAGAGAGAGACAGAGCAUGAACGGGGGAGGGUCAGAGAGAGAGGGAGACACAGAAUCGGAAACAGGCUCCAGGCUCUGAGCCAUCAGCCCAGAGCCCGAUGCGGGGCUCGAACCCACGGACCGCGAGAUCGUGACCUGGCUGAAGUCGGACGCUUAACCGACUGCGCCACCCAGGCGCCCCAGUGUGAACUCCUUUCUUAACGAACCUCCCUGCGUUCCAUUCUUUUCCUUAAAUAUAUUCACUCACACAGGCUGCCUAUGCCGUGCAGGCAUCAAUGGCCCAGACGUCCUUCAAGGCAGAACUGGCCAGUGAUGCCCCAUGCCCACACUGGACAUGGCUCACUCAUCCAUGACAGGGCCCGGCCCUCCUUCUUUUCCAUGCCUUUCUGCUCCGGAGACCACAAGCCCCCAGCGGGCAAAGCCUUAUACUUGAGCUAGCUCGCUCGCUCCCCCACCCACCUGUGCACGCAUUCACUGCUUGUAGAAGAAACAAGAGUUAUAACCAAAAUGCAACUCAGAGAAUCAUAGAAUCUUAGGUUUGUCACAGGAGCUCCGUAUCAGUUGUUCUGGAAAAGGUAUUCAUCACAGUCAUCUCAAGAAGCACUUUAGAAAUACACGUCUGGGACUCCUCCCAGUGUUCUGAUUCAGGAGGGCUGGAUGGGGCCUAGCAAUCUCUAUUUUUUCAAAACUCCCCCAUCCCCAAUCCCAGGUGACCGUGUUGCAGUGCCAGGUUUGGGGUUUCCAACAGAUAAAUGCCUUCUAGAAAUAGUCCACCUCUGCUCAAGAAACCCCAAGGUGGAGGAACUCACUACCUCCUAAGGCAGCCUCUCAUCGCCAAGUGUUAGUGCUAGGGAAUCCUUCUCUAUAUUUAGACACGAUGUGCCUCUUUGGAAAUUCACUGUUUAGAUUCUGUUCUCUGAUACAACUAAGAAGACACUCCCUUUUCACAUGACCAGACUAAACAGAGCCAUCAGAUUUUCUAGAAUCUUCUCUCUUCUAGGACAAAUGCCCAUAGUUUCAACAACUUUUUUUUUUUUUUUUAAUGGAAUGCAUUCUCUAUUCCAUUUCAAAAGUGAAACUCAGAAUUGUGCCUAGUGUUCUGAAGGAGCCCUGAGCAUUUUUCGUGCUCUGGCCGCUUUCGUGAGGCAGUCUAGGACAAGCAUUCUUGACCCUGGCUACACACGGGAAUCAUCGGGGAAGCUUUAGGUCCAACCUCUCAGAAAUUCUGAUAUGACUGGUCUGGGGUUCUGCCUGGCUAUCAAGAUUUUGUAAAGGUUCCAGGUGAUUCUGCUGAGCAGCUGAUGUUGAGAGCUACAGAUACAGACGCGGGGUCCUCUCUGUGUUAUUCUGUUGACUCACACACUCAUUCACUCAGCCUUUUUGCCUUGAAUCCCUGCCAAUUCCUCAUCAUGCACUUGAGGAAGUGACUAGUUGAACUUAGCAGCAGACUUUUACAUUUAUUCCUGAUAAAUGUCAUCAAUUUGGUUUGGGUCCAUUGUUGCAAGGUCAAGUCACGUCCUUGAGCUUCAUACUGACUGACUGCUCUCUUUCUAGCUUUGAGUCUUUUACAUGCUUCUGGUAUCGUCAUGUAAAACAUGGAUAAAAUUAUAGAUCUUUGAAAGAUCUACAGAAAAUCCUCUGGGAAAUAAAUGACAGCAGCUGCUUUUUAGGCAACUGGAUAUUCUUUCACAGUGAAGGACCAGAUGCAAAAGAUUUAUGGUCACAGGUAAUAAAGAGUGUGGCGUUUAUUCCUAGUAUGAAAUGUUCCCUACAGCUCCCUGAAGCUCUCUCUGGUGGCAGGGGCCAGCUGAAGCCACCAUGCUGAGCUGCCAGGGUACAGCUGAUGACAUUUCCUGUGUGUGGCCUCCCCAACAUUAUUUAGGUCACCUGCCACAUGGACCAGAGCUGCCACAGUGACACCUGCUCAAGACGCCCCAGCCUACGGGAAGAUUUAAGACUGCAUUCGCACACAUCUCACUGGCCAGACAACAAACUGUGAGUGGAUUUCUCCAGAGUUGUAAGUUCUCUGACUCCAUUACGAAAGCAUCGUCUCACUUUGUAGGAAUGAUGAGGCAACAGAACAUGGCAGAAUGCAACCGAGCGUUUCCAGGUAGACUUUGGGAGGUAAAAUAAGAAGUUAGAUCCUGUGGAAUCUUUUUUAAUUUUGAAAAGUGGCAUUUCUCUUACAUUCACAGCUCCAACCUACAGUGUGGCCCUAAAGUGGGGUUUCCAACCUUUCUCCAUUUUCAAUGAGGCGGUUUCUCAACCCUGGCUCUGCUCUCCUCCCUGGGCCAUCUUGGCAAUGCCUCCCACCUCCUUCUAAUGCAGGGUGAGAACGGCAUGUGAAUCAUCCUAAAGCACACACAUGAAGUCGGACACCAGAGCACGUUCAUGUCGCUACGCAGGAGAGCAGCCCCGUGAACCUGUUCAACGGACACUUGCAUCCCACUGUCUGGAUCACCUGGGGCAAGACCAGCUCAUCGGCAGCUCCUUUAGGCCCCUGAGCCGUUAAAUGCCCUGAGACCGCUUUAAAGUAAAUUCUCACCUCCAGUGAGGAUACAGUAUACAAUGGCUCCUGCCUCUGCCUAAAACACAGAAAGUUUUUGCUAUUUUCUCCUGGAGUUUUUCAAAUGUAUGUUUAGUAGAAGGUCAACUCCUUAAGAGUCUGCAUAGAAUGAUCUUAAAACAACAACAACAACAACCCUAAUAAUUUUCUGGAAAGGUUCUAAUUUUACAGAAGGGUACACUGGAUUUUGCAUCCUAUGACACAUGAGGUGUUUCCUGAUUUCUUGCACCAGGUUAAUGUUUUAUUCAGUAUUAAACGGACUUAAUAUUAUUUUGAA